CCUACGGGGCGGCUCGGGACUCCGAGCCAGGGACCCUCCCCUUCCGGCCCCUGUGAAGUGUUUCUUCUCUAAUCUGCUGGAUGGGACCUCAACAGAGUUACAAAUAAGAAUAAAAGCUACCCGAGCUCUAGAAAAGCGAACGCUGACCCCGACGUGAUUUGAACACGCAACCUUCUGAUCUGGAGUCAGACGCGCUACCGUUGCGCCACGAGGUCGGCCGGCCACGGGGGUGGACAGGUCUCCCCAUGACGACUGGACGGAGUUCUGUCUUCUCUCUUUAUGCUGCACACCUUCCCUGGAGUAAACCCUUCCCUGGAGUCAGCCAUCACUUUUGUGCUGAGGGCUCCUGAAUCCUGCUCCCACCUCUCUGGAUUCAGUCUAGUGCCUGCUGGACACCUUCACUUGACCCUGUCAUCCUUCGAAAACUUCCCACCUCAGGCGGGACUCAAACCCACAAUCUCCCAGCUGAAACAGUACACCUCCUGUCAGGACUUAUGAAGCUGAGGUUCUUUAUGUCUCCACAUAGAAGGAAUUCAGGGAGAGGCAAAGAGAUAGGUAAGAAGUAGAUCUAUUGAGAGAGACAUGAGUUUGAGUAGGCUCCAGGGCCUGGCGUGCUGCAAAGAGUCGGACACAGCUGAGCGACUGAACUGAACACGAUCCAUAAAAAGUGUGGGCCAUCUCUGAAAGAGCACUGGGAAAUAUGUGGUAAGUUUUUAUGGGCUGAGUAAUUUCAGAGGGUAACAUUUGGGAGGAUUAUUCUAACUACUUAGGGAAGGGGUGAGGAUUUCCAGAAAUUGGGCCACUGCCCCCCUUUUUGGCUUUUUAUGGUCUGCCUCAGAAGUGUCAGGGUACCUGUGGGUGUGUCCUUCAACAUGUUAAUAUACAGGAUGGGCAUGUAAUAAGGUUUAAGGUCUACUGGAAGUUGAAUCUUCUGCCAUCUUGCGCCUGAACGGUUCUAACCAUUUUUCUCUCCUAUCCAGUUCUCAGUAGCUGCGUCAUUCUUGUAAAGGUUGCGCCCUGUCCCCUUCCCUCUUGUCUCAUUUCCUUCCCAGUCUUCUGCACUCUCAGUUAGAGGCCAAGCUGAGGCUUGGAUUCAUCUUGACUCUUCCCCCUUCCUCGCUUCCCAUUUCUAGUCACCAAGUUCACUCAAUUUCAUUUCCUUCAUAAUUCUGUUAGCCCUCAUUCCCUAUUCCCACUGCCAUCUCGCUGGAUGACUGUAGUAGACUCCUCCCUAAUGUCUCUGUCUCCAGAAUAGUCAAAGACAAUCAUCUUUUAAAAUGCUAACAUGAUUCCAUCAUGCUGUGGCUUAAAAUCAAUGCCCCAUUGAAACUGCACAACUCAGACGGGAUUCAAACCCAGCCAAAACUGAUUGGGACUUGAACCCUUGGGUUAGGACUUGAACCCACAGUCUUCUAGUUAAAAUUGCUCACCUGGUGUGAAAAACUGAUGGGAAAUGUUCAAUGGUUGCUUCAGUCUGCCUACUCCUGAACUCGAAGCUCAGAUUAAACGCCAGAAAAAGAGAGACAAGCAAACCUGGUGUGCUGCCUGUUAAAAGCCCAAGGCACUAGUCAUGUACAUUUUCAAGACAAAGGAUCCUACAUUAAAAUGCCAGACUGAUAAUUUACACAAGGUUUACCAAGGUAACAGUCCAAGAAAGCAUUUACAAAGUGAGCAACAAGUCACCAUGACUCCCAGCUGAAACAGUACACCUCCUGUCAGGACUUAUGAAGCUGAGGUUCUUCAUAACCCUCUACAGAGUUGAGAAAGAAUGCUAUUCUUUUAAGUUUUAAGAAGUAACAACAGCAAACAAAAGUUACACUGUAGCAUUAGAAGAAAGGGGAAAAAAUUGAUCUGUAUAGUUGAGCAGUCACUCCCAUCUGGUUAAUAUGUAACGCAGGUGCACACUUGCACAUUAGGGAGGGAAGGGCGAGGCCCAAACAAACACACAGAGAGAAUUUUAUGUUCAGUUUUUCUUGUCCUGUCUUUAAAUAUAAAUUUUGUUUUAUCACCAGAGUGAGGGAAUUCAAGGCUAAGAUAGCUACAUAACAAACUUUGCUACUUCUUUAGUUUGCUACCCCAAGCACAAACCCCUUUGUUAAUUCUUCACAAACAAUAUUUCUUUGUCAAAAAACAACAUAUAAACAGCCUCCUUUGGUCUCUUUGGUGGUCCUUUUUCUGUGAGAUUUCCCUGUGUUUGAAUUAAAUUGGAUUUUUUUCCUCCUAUCAAUCUAUCUUAUGUUAAUUUAAUUAUUAGAUCAGCUAAAAGAACUCAAGACAGUGGGAUGAAAAUUUCCUCCGCCUGGACAGAACUAUUUGGUGAUGUCUGGGAUUUGCUUCAAAAUAAUCCAGUGGGACUGGGACGCAGAAUAUAGCUGAAACAAGGUUGGCCAUGUGUUGGUAAUUGCUGAAACAGAAUGGUAGGCUUCAAAAGGGGUCAUAACCUUUUGAAUGAAAAAUACUUUACUUUUACAUACAAUAUGUUUGAAUAUUUCUGACUUAAAAAACGCAUUUCUAAAUUAUUUUAUGGCCAGUUCAAAUAUCGGAACAUGUGAGUUCCAGCCCUGGGUCGAGUGGCCGAAGGACCCUUGGUCACUGGCACUACCACCUGUGGCCACAAGGUGGCUCCAAAACUCUCUUUGGUGAGUGUGAAGCAGGCUUCUCUGAACCAAAGACAUGGAAAGUGAGCCACCAGGGAAGUCGAUUAAAUGCCUGCUGUUUACCAGUUCACAAAGUGAAUUUAUCUUCCUGUUCUUACUAGCUAUAGGUACCCAGGCAGGAAGGCUGUUACGCGCAGAAUGCCCCAAACUUCAAGCUGCUGGAUCCCAAAAUCUAACAGUCAUCCCUUCCUUCUCUCACCCACACACAUUCCCAGGUUCAGACUUUAUCUUCUAAGACUCUGUAGAUUGCUUCCACUUCACUCCACCUCUUUCACUCCGACACUAUUGACUCUAUUAUUUUGGCUAGAGACCUUAUUCAGAUUUUGCCAAUUUUUCCACUAAUGUCCUUUAUAAUAAAUUUUAUUUUUCUGAUCCAGGAC
ensembl:lncRNA